UCCGGCUUGUCACCGGCAGUUUCUCCAAAGUGCCCAGCAUAACCUGAUGGCAACUGGAGACGAGGGUUGCGCUCGUUAAUGGACUUAACCAAACAUCUCACGACACGAGCUGACGACGGCCAUGCAGCACCUGUCACCUUGUUCAAUAAAGCACUCUUGUCUUUCGACAAAAUUCAAGGGAUGUCAAGUCCUGGUAAGGUUCUUCGUUUAUCAUCGAAUUAAAGAACACGCUCCACCGCUUGUGCGGCUCCCCGUCAAUUCCUUUAUGUUUUAGUCUUGCGACCGUACUCCACAGGCGGGAUACUUAACGCGUUAGCUUCGCUACUGAAGGGGUCGAUACCUCCAACAGCUAGUAUCCAUAGUUUACGGCGUGGACUAC
rnacentral:misc_RNA from 1 species